rnacentral:lncRNA from 1 species
ACAACACAAGUCAACCUCAAACAAAUCAUCACAAUUGGUCAACACAAUUAAUUGGCAUUUAUUCAAAUUAAAAAUACUAAAAUAAGGCAUUUAAAUUAAAUAUGGUUUGUUAAAUUCCUAAAACCUCAUCAAAACACCAAAGAAAUGGCCAUGGGAUUUAUCAUAGGUCAAACAAGGUCAAAGGACAUUGGAGAAAAAAUUUCAGAAUUUUUAAAGACUUAAAAGUAUUUUUAAACAAUUAAAAAUAAUCACAAAAUCAAUUAAAUCAUGAAAAAUAUUAAUAAUGAUCCAAAA